rnacentral:rRNA from 1 species
GACGAACGCUGGCGGCGUGCUUAACACAUGCAAGUGGUGCGACGAACCAGGGCUUGCCCUGGGGCAAAGCCGCGAACGGGUGAGUAACACGUGAGUAACCGUGCCCCGAUGACCGGGACAACCCGAGGAAACUCGGGCUAAUACCGGAUGUGGCGCACAGGCAUCAGCCUGUUCGCUAAAGGAAGCUUCGGCCUCCGCAUUGGGAGGGGCUCGCGGCCCAUUAGCUUGUGGUGGGGUAACGGCCUACCAAGGCAACGAUGGGUAGCUGGUCUGAGAGGACGAUCAGCCACACUGGGACUGAGACACGGCCCAGACUCCUACGGGAGGCAGCAGUGGGGAAUCUUGCGCAAUGCGCGAAAGCGUGACGCAGCAACGCCGCGUGGGGGAAGACGGCC